GUAGCUACUAUUCCUUGGAAGAAUCUCAUCGUGAAUCUGAUAAGAUAAUGGAUGGAACAACAAUGGCUGUCUCAAAGUAGUUUUUGACUACAGCAUGUGUUUGGGGGCCAAUUAUACACCUUCUGGCUUUCUGUUCCAAGUCAGGCUUGGCUCAUGGGAUCAGCUGACUGUAGGGACACAGCACACUGCCCUUACGCUAUCAUGACACUGUGACAUGCCUGCUGACACCGUGCUGCUAGUGGAUGGCUGUGAAGAAUGGAGCUGCAAUGGAUAGCUGCUAUUUUACGGACUCCUGACCAAUUAUGCUAUUUUGUAUGUGUUUUUGCGAUGAUCUUAACUUUUUUUGUCCAUAAAGAUUCCGCCAUCAUUUCCUAUGACUGAAAAGAGCUUCUGGACAUCAGAACAGUGAUCAUUAACCUUGAUUUGGAUUAGGAUUUCUACUUCAGAGAGUCUGUGGCACAGGACAUACUGCUCACCCCGGACCAGGCCCUAAUCCCAGAGACUCGGAAAAGGAAGAGAUGGCAUUAGAGAGGCCAACUAUGUCGCUCCAGAGUCCAACGGGGUAAGCUUUACACCACUCCAACCGACGCUUGGCAUUGCGCAUGGUGAUCUUAGGCUGGUUUGCGGCUGCUCGGCCAUGGAAACCCAUAUCAUGAAGCUCCCGGCGAACAGUUCUUGUGCUGACAUUGCUUCCAGAGGCCGUUUGGAACUCGGUAGACCUGAGCCCUAGGACCGUGCCUCAGGACUACAUGGCCUGACGACUCCUGACUGUCCCUGUCCGCAGUCCACCUGGAUGUGCUACUGAUUCAGUUUCUGCUUGUGGCUAUGGAACCCUGACCUGUUCACCAGUCAUGUUAUCUUAGUCCGGUCUUGCUGUGUAGACUCACACACACGGUGGUGGGAAAGGCCUCACUCUCCACUGAAUUUCUCUCAGAGACAGCAGGAUUGCUGUCAGUCAUGGGCCAAGUGGGGCUUCAAACUCAGGGGUGACUCACCCCUGAGUUUGUGGGCUAUACUCUACCUUGUCUCAUGACAGCAGUCCUGCUGUCUGAGAGAAAUUCAGUGGAGAGUGAGGCCCCACUUGGCCCAUGGUAGGGAAAGCAUUACAGCUUGCCCUACCAGCCAUAGGGAUUCUCUCAAUGUAUGUGUGUGUCUGUGAUAUGUCCAUUUAUGAUCUCCACUCUUUCAAUCUUUGAAAGGAUAAUUAAUUACUCUCUCCUUAUGCUUCAAUUUCUCUUCCUCUGUGUCCCUACUGUGAUAAUUCCAGUCAGAAUUACUGAUAUACACAGCGUAAUUCAUGUUAUACACAAUGUGAUAACUACACUGAACAAAAAUAUAAACGCAACAUGUAAAGUGUUGGUUCCAUGUUUCAUGAGCUGGAAUAUAAAAUCCCAGAAAUUGUCCAUGAACACAAAAGGUUAUUUUACAUCCCUGUUGCUGAAAAUGUCUCCUUUACCAAGAUAAUUGAUCCCCCUUACAGGUGUGGCAUAUCAAGAAGCUGAUUAAAAAGCAUGAUCAUUACACAGGUGCACCUUGUGCUGGGAACAAUACAAUGCCACUUUAAAAUGUGCGGUUUUGUCACACAACACAAUGUCACAGAUGUCUCAAGUUUUGAGGGAGCAUGCAAUUGGUAUGCUGACUGGAAUGAUGUCCACCAGAGCUGAUGCCAGAGAUUUGAAUGUAAAUGUCUUUACCAUAAACUGCCUCCAACACUGUUUUAGAGACUACAGACCACAUGUAGCCACGCCAGCCCAGGACUUCCACAUCCGGCUUCUUCACCUACGGGAUCAUCUGAGGGGGGAUUGGGGGGUGCUGAGAGGUAUUUCUAUCUGUAAUAAAGCCCUUUUGUGAGGAAAAACUCAUUACGAUUGGCUGGGUCUGGCUCCCAUCGCUGCAUUUCUGCCCAGUCAUGUGAAAUCCAUAGAUUUGGGCCUAAUUUAUUUAUUUCAGAUCUGAUUUCAUUAUAUGAACUGUAGCUGAGUAAAAUCUUUGAAAUUGUU